CUUCCAUCUGGAAGAAUCUGGAGACAGGUGCUGCAUGGCUGUCGUCAGCUCGUGUCGUGAGAUGUUGGGUUAAGUCCCGCAACGAGCGCAACCCUGCCUUUAGUUGCCAGCAGUUCGGCUGGGCACUCUAAAGGGACUGCCGGUGUUAAACCGGAGGAAGGUGGGGAUGACGUCAAGUCCUCAUGGCCUUUAUGACCAGGGCUACACACGUACUACAAUGGCCGAUACAAAGGGCAGCGACACUGCGAGGUGAAGCCAAUCCCGUAAAAUCGGUCUCAGUCCGGAUUGGAGUCUGCAACUCGACUCCAUGAAGUUGGAAUCGCUAGUAAUCGUGGAUCAGCAUGCCACGGUGAAUACGUUCCCGGGCCUU
rnacentral:rRNA from 1 species